rnacentral:rRNA from 1 species
GACAGAGGUGCCGAGCGUUAGGCGGAAUCACUGGGCUUAAAGCGUGUGUAGGCGGGCCGUUAAGUACCUUGUGAAAUCCCCCGGCUCAACCGGGGAAUGGCUGGGUAUACUGGCGGUCUUGAGCGAUCUAGGGGCAGAUGGAACAAGUGGUGGAGCGGUGAAAUGCGUAGAUAUCACUUGGAACGCCAAAGGUGAAGACAGUCUGCUGGGGAUCUGCUGACGCUGAGACACGAAAGCCAGGGGAGCGAACGGG